GUAGAGGAGACAGCGUAGGGGACACAGGUAAGCCUUGGGGGGUCCUUGGACCCUUGGCCAUGUGUCCUCUUCUCCUCCUCCAGG
rfam:Cricetulus griseus cell line CHO-K1, whole genome shotgun sequence.